GUGCUCGCUUCGGCAGCACAUAUACUAAAAUUGGAACGAUACAGAGAAGAUUAGCAUGGCCCCUGAAAAAAAAAAAAAAAAAAGAUGGUAAAGGGGGCGGAAAAUGUU